UUACACGGAAAUAUUAUGAAGGAUUUUUUCGGUGUUGAUAUAAAAAUCCAAUUAACAUCACCUUCGGCCACCAACAACUCUGACAAAGGAUUAACAUCAUUGAAUGCCUAUAUACUUUGACAUCAUUUCUGUUUGAGUGCUCAUAACACAUUCUUCUCAAUGUCACUUUGCUUGACACGGGUUGAGGAAAAUUACUCUAUAAUAUUUUCAUCCAAUUUCGCCAUGUGAAGCAUUUUGGGAUUUUGUCGAGCAUAUUGCUCUUCCUAGGGACAUUUUUCUCAGCUUUGGCCUCUUUUUUGUUUCUCCUCCUCCUUUUCUUCUCCUUUGCCUUUCUCUACAUGGUCAAGCAGUUUGUCUCCUCAGCUUUUGCAUGGUGCCUAUGCAAAUUCUGGAUAUAUUGUUGAAGAGGGCUAGUGUUGAACCUGCUUGAAAGAAGCUAUCUGAACGGACUCCUGGCAGAGAUAAUUCCAUAUAAUGGCCAGCCAUGUAAAGUAGACUUAAUUGUGCUGAGGAAAGCAGGAGAAAUAUGGAUCCAGUUGUAAAAUUUCUAAUGGGCGACUCCAGAGUGAAACUGCUUUUCUGUUGGCUAAGCAGCUUUCACAUGGAGCUUUUCUUCUCUAUGUCAGUAUCUGUCUUGUCCCUGUGCUCAUAUUGCAUGGAUGGAGACUGACUGCAGAACAUGAAGAAAGAGUAAGGGCAAUUUUACAGUUCCUCAUCAGUUUGGUGUAAGAUUGAUCUCUGAAGCAUAAUGGGCCUUAGAGCCUUGAGUGUAGGACUAGCCUCUUUAAUUUCAGCAAAAGAGUGUGGAGAAUCUGUCUUUGUUUGCUUCUAUUACGGAAUCCUACGGCUUCCUUUGCUUCAGAUGGAAUGAAUAGCUAGUAUUUGUUCUCCAACAGGUUAUAUUCACUUUGAUGCUUCAAGUUGUCCGUUUUAUCCAGUGAGGGUACUCAGCUAAUUAAUAUACAAUGUCAAGUAGUAUGUUAUAUGAUUAACUUUUCCCUUUUAACUUUGUGCUUGCAUCGCUUCUACCUGAAUAUAUAUGUAUAUCCUUGGAAGUGAGCCAUAUUUUACCCUGCAUGUUUAAACUUUAUGAUACUUGAAGUCUUUCACAUUAGCAAGAAUCCUUAACAUCCUUGGUUAAGUUGAAAAUUAACUUUGUACCCCUGAUAUGCCCCCCUUUCCAUUUUUGUAUUUUUCCUUAUAUCCUUGGUUUAAUUACACUAAUAUUUUGCUUACAAUGCCAAAUUGGUAAAAGCAUAGACUUAAACUACUGUGAGUAACCGUUUCUUUGGUAGCUAUUAAUUUUGAUAGCUUACGUGGACCACAGUGGUGCUGUUUGUUCGUGUUUUCAUCUCUCUCGGUUCAUUGCCAAAUCCGCAAUUGUUGACCAAGAUUGAUCCAAACAGAGCUUUGCUUCAACUUAGAGUAGCAUGGCCUUUCUAUUAAUGCAAGUAUAGCUGAUCAGGAGACAGUCCAAAGGCUGAUUUUGUAUUUGGGAGUAUCCAUCCUGAUUCAGAGGUUGCUGAUAAUAUCAUUUGGAGGACUUCUCCUGCUAUUGAUGUGGAUUCUAUCAAAUCGUUCAGAGAUAUGAAGCUGCUGCGUGUUCUUUUUAGUUGUAGUCCAAGUUGAAUUGUAACUCUUUUUUUAGGUCAAGCAUGAUCAGAGAACCAGCUGGAUAUUUUUGUGGGAAGAAGAGAAUUCGUAGGGUGAUCCCACCAUAUCUAUUGUAAUCAUCUAAGUUGGUUGUACCUCUUCUCUCUUUUCUUUUUGAACCGUAUACCAACUUCGUUGCUAAUGUGCUAUUGGUUUUCUGUUGUAAUCAUCUAGUGCCAAAUGAAGAGAGAUUUGUGGACCUCA